UAGAGAAAAACUCUGGUGAUGUGCUCCAGG
rnacentral:piRNA from 1 species